rnacentral:misc_RNA from 1 species
AUUCAAGGGACACUCAACUUGGGUGCUGCGGCAAGCAAUGCCAUACACGCCAAUUAUUUCACUGUCACCUCGUCACCCCGAAAAAUACUUGAAGAAAGGGCCUGCUUAUGUUGAUGCUAACUGUACGUACUUUGCUGGAAAGGACUUUGUAGAUUUUGGAAGUGUUGCUUGGAAAAAUGUGAUGAAAGAACAUGGAGUUGAUGAUCUUAGUCGAGU